rnacentral:lncRNA from 1 species
ACAUACCGUGCGUUCUCCUCCCCUUUAUGCCCGCGCCUCCGUGUACGGCCCGCCCAUAGCUCCUUCGACGGCGCCGCCUAGGAACGCGGAGAAAAUAUGACAAAGGAACGACCAAAAAUAAAAAGAAAGACCUUUCUUUUGAAAAAACAAACAAAAAAAAGGAAUGCAACACGAGGACUUCCCAGGAGGUCACCCAUCCUAGUACUACUCUCGCCCAAGCACGCUUAACUUCGGAGUUCUGAUGGGAUCCGGUGCUUUAGUGCUGGUAUGAUCGCAUCCGACAUACCGUGCGUUCUCCUCCCCUUUAUGCCCGCGCCUCCGUGUACGGCCCGCCCAUAGCUCCUUCGACGGCGCCGCCUAGGAACGCGGAGAAAAUAUGACAAAGGAACGGCCAAAAAUAAAAAGAAAGACCUUUCUUUUGAAAAAACAAACAAAAAAAAGGAAUGCAACACGAGGACUUCCCAGGAGGUCACCCAUCCUAGUACUACUCUCGCCCAAGCACGCUUAACUUCGGAGUUCUGAUGGGAUCCGGUGCUUUAGUGCUGGUAUGAUCGCAUCCGACAUACCGUGCGUUCUCCUCCCCUUUAUGCCCGCGCCUCCGUGUACGGCCCGCCCAUAGCUCCUUCGACGGCGCCGCCUAGGAACGCGGAGAAAAUAUGACAAAGGAACGGCCAAAAAUAAAAAGAAAGACCUUUCUUUUGAAAAAACAAACAAAAAAAAGGAAUGCAACACGAAGACUUCCCAGGAGGUCACCCAUCCUAGUACUACUCUCGCCCAAGCACGCUUAACUUCGGAGUUCUGAUGGGAUCCGGUGCUUUAGUGCUGGUAUGAUCGCAUCCGACAUACCGUGCGUUCUCCUCCCCUUUAUGCCCGCGCCUCCGUGUACGGCCCGCCCAUAGCUCCUUCGACGGCGCCGCCUAGGAACGCGGAGAAAAUAUGACAAAGGAACGGCCAAAAAUAAAAAGAAAGACCUUUCUUUUGAAAAAACAAACAAAAAAAAGGAAUGCAACACGAGGACUUCCCAGGAGGUCACCCAUCCUAGUACUACUCUCGCCCAAGCACGCUUAACUUCGGAGUUCUGAUGGGAUCCGGUGCUUUAGUGCUGGUAUGAUCGCAUCCGACAUACCGUGCGUUCUCCUCCCCUUUAUGCCCGCGCCUCCGUGUACGGCCCGCCCAUAGCUCCUUCGACGGCGCCGCCUAGGAACGCGGAGAAAAUAUGACAAAGGAACGGCCAAAAAUAAAAAGAAAGACCUUUCUUUUGAAAAAACAAACAAAAAAAAGGAAUGCAACACGAGGACUUCCCAGGAGGUCACCCAUCCUAGUACUACUCUCGCCCAAGCACGCUUAACUUCGGAGUUCUGAUGGGAUCCGGUGCUUUAGUGCUGGUAUGAUCGCAUCCGACAUACCGUGCGUUCUCCUCCCCUUUAUGCCCGCGCCUCCGUGUACGGCCCGCCCAUAGCUCCUUCGACGGCGCCGCCUAGGAACGCGGAGAAAAUAUGACAAAGGAACGGCCAAAAAUAAAAAGAAAGACCUUUCUUUUGAAAAAACAAACAAAAAAAAGGAAUGCAACACGAGGACUUCCCAGGAGGUCACCCAUCCUAGUACUACUCUCGCCCAAGCACGCUUAACUUCGGAGUUCUGAUGGGAUCCGGUGCUUUAGUGCUGGUAUGAUCGCAUCCGACAUACCGUGCGUUCUCCUCCCCUUUAUGCCCGCGCCUCCGUGUACGGCCCGCCCAUAGCUCCUUCGACGGCGCCGCCUAGGAACGCGGAGAAAAUAUGACAAAGGAACGGCCAAAAAUAAAAAGAAAGACCUUUCUUUUGAAAAAACAAACAAAAAAAAGGAAUGCAACACGAGGACUUCCCAGGAGGUCACCCAUCCUAGUACUACUCUCGCCCAAGCACGCUUAACUUCGGAGUUCUGAUGGGAUCCGGUGCUUUAGUGCUGGUAUGAUCGCAUCCGACAUACCGUGCGUUCUCCUCCCCUUUAUGCCCGCGCCUCCGUGUACGGUCCGCCCAUAGCUCCUUCGACGGCGCCGCCUAGGAACGCGGAGAAAAUAUGACAAAGGAACGGCCAAAAAUAAAAAGAAAGUCCUUUCUUUUGAAAAAACAAACAAAAAAAAGGUAUGCAACACGAGGACUUCCUAGGAGGUCACCCAUCCUAGUACUACUCUCGCCCAAGCACGCUUAACUUCGGAGUUCUGAUGGGAUCCGGUGCUUUAGUGCUGGUAUGAUCGCAUCCGACAUACCGUGCGUUCUCCUCCCCUUU